rnacentral:rRNA from 1 species
GAUGAACGCUGGCGGUAUGCUUAACACAUGCAAGUCGAACGCAGACUUUCGGGUCUGAGUGGCGGACGGGUGAGUAACGCGUGAGAAUCUGGCUUCAGGUUGGGGACAACCACGGGAAACGGUGGCUAAUACCCAAUGUGCCGUUCAGGUGGAAGAUUAAUUGCCUGAAGAUGGGCUCGCGUCUGAUUAGCUAGUUGGUGGGGUAAGAGCUCACCAAGGCGACGAUCAGUAGCUGGUCUGAGAGGACGAUCAGCCACACUGGGACUGAGACGCGGCCCAGACUCCUGCGGGGGGCAGGUGGGGGGAAUUUUCCGCAAUGGGCGAGAGCCUGACGGAGCAAUACCGCGUGAGGGAGGAAGGCUCUUGGGGUGUAAACCUCUUGUCUCAGGGAAGAAGGCAAUGACGGUAACUGAGGAAUCAGCAUCGGCUAACUCCGUG